rnacentral:rRNA from 1 species
UACGGGGGGGGCAAGCGUUGUUCGGAAUUACUGGGCGUAAAGGCUCGUAGGCGGCCAACUAAGUCAGACGUGAAAUCCCUCGGCUUAACCGGGGAACUGCAUCUGAUACUGGAUGGCUUGAGUUCGGGAGAGGGAUGCGGAAUUCCAGGUGUAGCGGUGAAAUGCGUAGAUAUCUGGAGGAACACCGGUGGCGAAGGCGGCAUCCUGGACCGACACUGACGCUGAUGCGCGAAAGCUAGGGGAGCGAACGGG